GGGGAGGCUGCGGCGGGCGCGGCGCGGCGCGCAUGCGCGGCGGCGGUCAGCCUCCCGGCGCCAUUUUGUGUGCGGCUUCUUCCCAUUUUAGGCGGCCGCGGGGCGGGGGGGAGGUGGCGGUGCCGCGGGGCCGGGCCCUCACAUGGCGGCCGCGGGGCCCCCUCAGCGCCCCGGGGCCGCCUCGCGGAGUGGUUUCGGUGGCUCCUCAGCGGCCGUGGCGCAGCCGGGAGGCUCCGGAGAAGCCGGAGAAGCAGCGGUGGUGCCCCUGGUGGUGGUGCUCGGCGGGACCGCCCCGCCGGAGGGAGGCGGAACAGGCGGCCGCGGGGCUGUGAGGCGGCUGCAGCAGAAAAAUUCUGUCCACCUGGGUGUAUCUGUUGCAGCUGGCGUGCCUUGGAAGUUCUUGGCACAUCAUCCAUCUAACUACUAAGCUGAAGACUUGUGUAGCAGCUGCCGUUUCAGUGUGGCGGAGAGCUUUGGUUGCCAUCACCUGGAACCAAGUGAUCAGUCUGUCCUCCAAAACCUGAAGUAAGUGCUCGAGAUCAAGUGUGGAUUCCAUUACUGCUCUGGGUGGUAACAUUACUUCACGUGCUUGCUGAAGGAGAAUAUUCUCCUUACGUUUUCACAGGCUAACUGGUAUUUUAAAUGCCAGGAGUAAAGGUGAAAGAUUAGAUCUAGCUGUCAUUCAUGCAUCAUCAAACUUUGUUUCAGCCUUCCAUGUAACUUGUUUGCAACAGGCACAACUUGGUACUAGAAAUGUAUCCUGUGCGUAUAUCCACGUGGGCUGUGCCAGUGCAUCAACCAUUCUAGCACAGUAAACCUAACGAGCACAGAGUUAAAAUAAAAUUAACUGGUUUCCAAAGCAUUUCUACUAAAUGCAGCUUUUUUUCUUUUUGCCUGGCCUCCAAUGUGUAGGCUUUAUUGUUGGUCUAAACAGUUUACCUGUGCAAUUUUUGAUCUUUCAAAGUGAGAAGAGACGUUUUCUAUGGGAUUGGAAGAGUGGUUCUCUGUAAAAAUAGUCAGUCACUAGUUUACAGAGCAAAUAUGGUUUUAGUGUUCCUGAAAUAAACUCAAGUUGAAAACUUUUAAACUUGCAUGUGAAACUCUAGAUACUCCUAACUAAUUCUUCCUAACGGAGUCAAAUCUUGUUUAUAAAUAGUAGUGCUUGAGUAGUUUCCCAUCUAAAUCAAACAUAUGGGGUGAAACUUGAAUGCAAAAACUGCUUUGGGGAGUUGCAGUUACAUAAUUUAAACUUUAUCAUUUAAAUGAGGUUGCAUGCUGUGUUUGAAGAAUCCUACUGCAGUCUUCCAAGUAAGUUAAGAUUUCUGGUAGAAUAUACUCCUCCUCAAAUACUGAACUUUUGGAACCGUCUUGGAUAUGGAUUCACUUCUUCAGCUUUUGGUGAAACCAGAUUGGGAGUAAACAUACAUUGAGUGCGUGUCUGUUGUUCACAUUGUUCAUAUCUAAGAUGUUGACUGAUGCUGAAGUUGGAGAGCUAAAAUCAGUUUUUUCUUUUGGUAAAGAGAAGUAACUCCAGUUGGAUUAUUUUUCUCAAUACCUGUGUUAGAAUAUUCAGGAUAGUGUUGUUUUUUGCUCUUAAAGUAAUUUUCAGAGUGAUUUGUCACAGCCAAUCUGAAGUUAGAGUCCUCCUUGCUCAUGCUACCUGUUGCCAGUUUAUAUCUUGACUGUCCUUUUCCGUCUGCAGAAGGAGUAGUUUAAAAAGUAUAAGAGGAAAUAAAACUUAAAAGC